rnacentral:rRNA from 1 species
ACCAGACUCCUACGGGAGGCAGCAGUGGGGAAUCUUCCGCAAUGGGCGAAAGCCUGACGGAGCAACGCCGCGUGAUCGAAUGAAGGCCUUCGGGUUGUAAAGAUCUGUUGACAGGGACGAAUAAGCAAUGCGAAUAGUUUUGUGUAUGACAGUACCUGUUUAGAAAGCUCCGGCUAACUACGUGCCAGCAGCCGCGGUAAUACGUAGGGGGCAAGCGUUAUCCGGAUUUACUGGGUGUAAAGGGAGCGUAGACGGAUGGAUAAGUCUGAAGUGAAAGCCCGCGGCUCAACUGCGGGACUGCUUUGGAAACUGUGCAUCUUGAGUACGGGAGGGGCAGGCGGAAUUCCUGGUGUAGCGGUGAAAUGCGUAGAUAUCAGGAGGAACACCGGCGGCGAAGGCGGCCUGCUGGACCGAAACUGACGUUGAGGCUCGAAAGCGUGGGGAGCCAACAGGAUUAGAUACCCCAGUA